CUAAGAAAAUAUAUAGAUAUAUAUCAAAAAGUUCAAUUACUUUGAAAAUAUAUAUUUGUAUUAUUUAAAAUUAUGUUUUAAAAGAAAAAUAUUUCUUUUCCUAAUAUCAAGAUCAUUUGUGUAAACUUUUUUUUAUGAAAUUACAUUAUAUACAAAUAUAUUUUUUCAUCUAAGAAGGUGUAGAUAAAAAAAUUAUUUUAUUACUUCAAAAGUAUAUUUUUAGUUACUUUAAGAUACCUUUUAAAUGGAAUAUUACUAUUUUGUGAACUUUCCUUUUUUUUAUAAAAUCAUAUUAUAUAUACAUAUAUUUUUCGUUUUUAAAUUAUUUUUUAAAAUUUAUAAAUGUUUUCUUUUUAUUUAUAUUGUUAUUUGAAAAUUUUUAAAAAGUAAAAACUAAUAUUUAAAUGUACUUUUUUAUUUCAUUAGGGGUAUCGUAGUAAUCAACCACCGUGAAAGUUAACGUGAGCGCGACACCUAAGAAAGUGACUUCUCAAAUAAUAUUAUAGAGAUGAACCUUUAAUGGA